GUCUAUUCCAAAAAGUUAUGUACUAACAUUUUGAUUAGAGUGCAAAUGUCGCUUCCCUUCCAAAAUAUUGAUACCCCACUCCUCUGCAAAGGUCACUUCAGAUUUUUGCAAAACGGACAAAGCCAAAGCAUCACCUUGAACAAGGCCUUCAUCUGCCGUUUCCAGAAAUCGUGCGCGUUUUCCCUCCCUCAGGUAUGAAUGCUCCAAACAACUCAGAUCUUUUCUUUGCCGAGCAAAUCGUUUCUUCAUCAAAUCUAUGGCUUAUCACUCAACUCAGAGUUUCUCCAAACAACUCAGAGUUUUUCUUUCUCUUUCUUCAUCGUUAUCAUCUUUCUUCUUUCUCUUUCUUAUCAUCCAUUUAUGCUUUGGCUUCAAACUAAUUUUGUUUAUUUCUUCUCUCUCUUUCUUUCUUCUAUCACCCUCUUUCUCGCUUCCUUCAACAAAUCAAACCCUAAAUUAAUGGUCAUCCUUUUUCUCCCUCAUCUCCAAUUCAAACCCUAAAUAUGCCGACAUCCGAUGAAAAACCAUAUGGAGAUGAACUUAAGGCGUGGGAUGCCGAGUUUAUUAAGAGAACAAAAUAUGAAGGAUCAUCCGAUACAACGCAUUUGUUCCUGUUGUGAAUAAUUUAUUUUCCAUUUUGGUAUUUUAAUUUUUUUUCUUUCAAAAACCUAAUCCCUAAUUUGAUGUGUACAAUAAAUUAGGUUGGAAAAGCUUGUGGUGAAAGAUGGAAAUCCUUGUCCAAAGAGGUGCUGAACGGAAGACGCAAGUCUCAGCUUGGACUGCUGAUCGAAAACUCGAAAGUGUCUAUGCAAUGAAUUUACAGCAAAUUAACAAUAGUGUUUGUAUUCCUCCAAAAUGGUAUAACUUAAUUUAAUCCACUGUUGUUAAAGGUUAAUAUUAAGCUAUGGAAAGUUAAAAUACAAGUAUGUCUUAAAAUUCAAUUGCUCAUAAAUUCAUGACCCUCUCAAAUUCUCUCAUUCAGUCUACGUGUUAAUUGGUCACCCAGUCUACAUAUAAACUACAAAAUUACAUGCUAAUUUAAAGUCAUGAAUUAAGCUUCAUUAAAAUUUGCAUUUGGUCCAUGACAAAUGGUAGUAUUCCAACAAAGAUACCACUCCUAAUUAACUUAAUAUGAUUUUUAGUAAUUUUGUGACAAUGUAUUGGAAUUACUGUAAUUUUAGUUGGGGGUCAUUUUCAAAUUAGUCAUUGCACUGUGUCGUGAUUGCUUCUAAAUGGCUUUGAUUUACAUUUGAUUUUUCCAAGUUCACCUCCAGGUUGUCAUACCUCACAGCUACAGGCUGACCAUAUGAUUUUCUCAAAUUCUCAGUUGGAUUGUUUCUCUAAGUGUUAACUUCAUGUAACUGCGUCGAACUUUCCAAUCCUAAAAGGAUUUUGAUCAAUGGAAAAAUCUCCCGACAAUUGAGGUGUCACAAUGAAGUAAUGAGAUGAAAAUAAAGCAUUUAACUCUUUCCUACCACCCCCAUUACAUGAAUUUUCUUGGCCUUCCCCAGUCACAGGACUAACAAAUUCCACUGUACCAUGUCCGCUAAUAUUUCUUUGAUCAGGUUCCGACAUCUUACAAUUUGAUUCAUCUUUUAAGCUGCCAAUAGUUCCACAGGAAUCAAUGUUGUUGCUGUCAACAAUUUCUCUUUCUUCAGGAUGCUCAAUGUUGUCUUUUGUCAUGGAACUCAAUUCAUGAACAAAUUGAUUCAAUAUUUCUUACGGCUUUGCAUUUUCUUCUGGUUCCACAAUCUGCAUCUCUGGUGAGUUGACUAUCAUGCUUGCACUUUCAUCAUGGCAUGUAUCGUACUUGCUGCUUGGCUUUAAGGAAAAUCGAGCAGCAAGGGACAUGAAUGCAGAACUGUCAAACAGAAAAGAAAGGGAAAGUGAUGUACCAUGUAUUUUAAUUACAUGAUAAUUUGUGAUGAAUGCACAUAUAGGAUAAUUUGUGAUUAUUUUGUAUUUGGUAUUUUUUCUAUAAAAUAGUACUCAUAAAUAUUUUGUAUUUUGAUAAGCAAUGAUAAAUGUGUGAGAAAAUAAAAGUGAUAAAUGUUAUUCUUGAAAGUAUAUCACUCAUACCUUGACUUCUCCCAUAUUUUGUAUUAGUUCUGUGAAUUUAGUACUUUAUUCAUUGUGUUUGUUGAAGUGUGAGAUAAUGCAUAUCAGGAAAUUCAAAAUAGGUGUCACCUUAAGUAGGAAUAAUUUGAAAGCUGGAAUUUUCAAGGUAUCUAUAGAAGAUGAUGAGUUUUUGUCAACUUGAUCAUAGUUUUUGCUUUUGAUAUUCAGUGGUUGUAAUUGCAAGCUAUCACAGUCUGUUAACUUUUUUUAGGCUAUUACGGCUGAAUAAAACACAGGUAGUUCAAAAUGUACAUGUCUAAACUAUACUGUUUAAAUCGUGUCUAGACAUGUAGAUUCUUCCGCAUGUUGUUUUUCAUCAUUCUGUUAUCUUUUAAGGAGCAAGAGUCUAAAAUGUACAUGUUUUAUGAAAAUGAAAUAUGUAUUUAAUAUUGCGAGGACUACGUAACUACAUGUUUUCUUUUGAGUCAAUGAGCUUUUUUUAAUCAAUCAGAGUCAAAGGACUUUGAAUAGAUUAACUAUGAGAAGUUGAAAAUUUUAAAUAAAUAAAAAGUGUUGAACAAAUUUCAUUACAAGCAUAAAAAAGUUUAAGACUAAAUUUCUUAAAAAAAAAAACAUUGGAGGGCCAUA